rnacentral:rRNA from 1 species
UACGGGGGGGGCAAGCGUUGUUCGGAAUUACUGGGCGUAAAGGGUUCGUAGGUGGCUUGUUAAGUCAGACGUGAAAUCCCUCGGCUCAACCGGGGAACUGCGUCUGAGACUGAUGAGCUCGAGUGCAGGAGAGGAACGCGGAAUUCUAGGUGUAGCGGUGAAAUGCGUAGAUAUCUGGAGGAACACCGGUGGCGAAGGCGGCGUUCUGGACUGCAACUGACACUGAGGAACGAAAGCCAGGGGAGCAAACGGG